rnacentral:lncRNA from 1 species
AAAAAAAACAGCCUUUAAUUAGCCGCUAUAGUUUUUUUUUACAAAACUAGCCAGUAUAGUUUUAUCUCUAUAGUCUAAAUACAUUAUUGUUGUCAUUUACUAAAAUUAUUGAUCUAUAACAAUAACCAUAUACGAAGAAUACCUCAAAAAAAAACAAAAAACGUACGAAGGAGAAUCAACCAUCUGGAUAAUACAUAUCCUUAUUUUAUUUAUUUGAAUUUGAAUGGCAACCACCAAAGCCACAUAUAGAAAGAAUAUUUUCCUACCAAUCGUACAUGAUGCCCAUAACAAAAGAUAGGUUCCAUAAUAUGGCCCCAUAAUAUCCUUAUCCUUAUAAUUAUGGUUCAGAAAAUAAAAAACCUCGUUAAGUUUUAGGAUUAUUUUAAGUUGAUAAAUAUUAACGAGUAUCUUCAGAGCAUUUUUUAAGCAUCUAAAGUGGUAAGAUUUUAUGAAAGUUGAGCAUUUAUUAUAUUGGAAAUUGAAGUCUUUACAUUUCUUUUAAAAAUAAUUUUUUCAUUAUAAAUGCUUAAAAGAUGCUCCAUGGACAUUCAUUAACAGGACUCUUUUAAGUUUUAGAAUGUUAGCAUUUCCCUAAGACACAUGUUAAAGAUAGAGAUAUAUUAUGGCCUCUCACGGUAGCACCCGCCUACGUAGCGAGUUUAUGGUCAAUCUAAGUCAUUUACUAAAUGUCAAAAUUGUGUAUGAAUUGAAUUAUUCAACAAUGUUACAAGCUCCAUGUAUUUGCUACUAGUUGAUGAUCACUAACUAUCCUUUCAUUUUCCAUACAACUAGACCAUUUUUUUUUAGUAUUAUUUGCUCUAUCUCUCCACUUGUUUCCACAAAUAUGAUUAAUUUUUUUCGAAAAUUUUGUUUUUUUAAAUAUGAUAUUAUGGAAAACAAAAUUCGAAAAUUUGAAUAUAUAUUAAUCUUUUCCACAAUUUUUUUAAAUAUUUCCCGAUUAUUUUUAUAAUUUUUCCAGAUUUUUUUCAUUAUUUUUUAUUUUACCAGAUUUUUUUAAUCAUUAUUAAUUUUUACAUUUUUUUUUUAAAAUUUUUCAGUAUUUUUUUUAAUCAUUAUUCGUUUUUUAAAUUUUUUUAUUUUUAUUUUAAAAAAAUCACAAAUGCCACGUGGCGUUCAUUUACACGCGUGGCAUGAAAAAAAUUAAACAAAAAAAAAUUGACACGUCACUGCCACGUAGUAGAUUCUGCCGACACAUUGAGGUGAGGGGUCAAUCCUGAAGAAUCUUCAUUUUUCAAGGGUGGAAUCUAAAAAAAAAAAAUUACAGGGGCUAAAACCAAAAGUGCAUUAUAUUACAAAGGCCAAAAACACUAUUAACACUAUAUUAUUACUUCUUCUUUUUUAUAAAAAUCCAAAUAAAAAUCAUUUGCAUUGCAGCCAAUUGGCCAAAUGCAACAUGACAAGCGCAAAAUUGCUCCAUGUUGACUUGUGAGAACUCUUGUUCUAGAUAGAGAACCUUAUAGUUUUUGUUGUCACAGAAAAUGUUAAACAACUUUUUCCAUGCAAUUUAUGCGUCUGAAUCGCGCUUGAUGAUGGUGAUGAGAAUAUAUUCUGAGGUGGUGUCAUAUAUCCAUUAUAAUACGACAACAUCAAAAAGCGGCCAAAGAUUGGGAUUGAUUUCUUUGAGAGAGGGAGUUGUUGGCUUAUUAGUGGGUGAGGGAGGAAUGAUGUGAUGAAAGACUUGAUGAACCCUUGCAUGAAUUUUAAAGAGUUCGAACCACGUAUUAUAUUGGACCCUUUUUUAUACUAAACGUAACCUUGAUGAAAUUGGUGAUAAUUGAAAAUGGUGGUAGAGGGAUGGAUAGGUGUGGAAGGAGUUGGGGUUGAAAUUGUCCUUCGAGUGGUAGUAUUUUUGGGGAUGAUUCGGCCCUGAUGGUGAAUGAAGGAGAAGAGGAACGAUGGCGCUGUAUUAGGUUUACGAGAGAAGGAUGAGUACCAAUAACUUACUGAUACCAUGUAAGAAUUAUAAUAAGAUAAUUAUUAGUCGUGUGUCAUUUGCAUUGAGAGGAUCCGUUGACACUAGGUGUCAAACUUUAGUUUGACAUCAAAUCUCAACCGUCUAUUAUGUCUAAUCUAAUGGUCUGUGAUUAUUUAUUAAAUUAACUUGUGUGAUCUUUUUCCCAUGUCUCACCUGAUCCCACGCCGGCUGUUCUGCUCCAUCUCCUUCAACUUAUCAAAGUUAAUAUGGCCAACAAUCAAAUACACACACAAAUUAAUUCUUUUAUUUUUUAAAGAAGAAGAAGCUAAAUUAGCCCACACAAAUUGGCACCGGAGAGAAUCGAUCCUGAGACCUCGAGGAGGAGCACACUCCCAGAUCCCAAGUCAAUACCACCAGACCAACCCAAAUGAUAAAUAAGGAGUUAAUUCUAAAUAAGGAGUUAUACAUAUAAUUACAUAUUGUUGACAUUAAUUGUUCUCUGUGGGGCAAGAUACUUGAGGUGUAAGUUUCAUAAGAUGCAAGUUCUUUUAAGUCUAAAUUGUCUUAUACUUACAUUAUUUUAGGUCUAAAUUUCAGAAACCAUUAUCACAAAUUUUUUGACAAUCUUAUAUCACAUACUCGUACUAUAUUUUUACUUCUCUUUUUGUUGUUUUGGUUUUUGUUUUCAUACCUAAUUUUCCUUGUAAAUAUAUAGUUGUCUCAUAAAUUAUCGUUAAAAUUGUUGUUCAAAUAACACAACUCUUAUUUCUAAUACUCAAAAUUUGUUCAAAUUAAGUUUUUAAAGAACUUCUAAUAAAAUCAGAUUAAGUUUUUUUGAACUUUCUAAAUACUUAAAUUGAAUUUUCUCGAAUAUACAUCUUGGAGAAAGAAAAAAAAUAAUUAUAGGAGGGAGAUGCAAAACUUACGUUUUCUUUCUCUAGAAACAUAUUUUGAGUUUUCAAUAUCAUCAAAAUCAUAAACUUUAUUUAUUUGCAAAUCUAGAGCACAUAUAGCACGAUUUUCUCUCAUAAUUUACAUUGAUAUAACACAUAUUAUGUUCUUACCUUGCCCAAACAUUCGGGAUUUAAUUGAUAAUGUAAAAGAUGUUUUCAAAUGUAGAAUAAGAAAGAUGGAAAACCUCCAAGCCAAAUUAUACACAAGAAUAUAAAACAAAGCAUUUACUUGGUAGAUAAUAUUUUCUUUUUAAACAGCAAAUUUUAUUCAUAAUAAGAUAACCUAACACAAGAAGUGAAGAGGCUAUAGGGGAAAGACACAAGGUAACAAUACAUAAAGACAACUAAACCAAUGCUAAAAAGCCACAUCACAAAACCACCCAAACAACCCUUAAUACAAUAUAAUUGAACCAGUUUCCAUCAACACCACAUCAAUAGACCCCUAAAUAAUUGAACAAAAACCAGCCACCUAAACUUCCUGGUACCAGUAAAUUACAAUUACUUAGUAGAUAUUGAUAUGUCUUGUUGCAUUGAUGUUUCAGAAAUGUGUGGCUGGAGGGUAAUCUUUGGGUCGUAACUUCCACAAUAUCUUCGAGCAGCGAUUGAUUUUGGGAGGUUUGAAUUUUGGCAAGGCAGCAUCAACAGCAAAAUGUUGAGGAGCAAGCAUAAAAGCAGCAAGGAAUAACACUAAUAAGGAUAAGAAAAAGGAAUUAGCCAUUUUAAGAAGUGAUAUUAUUAUUGUGUUGGUGCAUAAUACAUAGGUAGUUAACUGGCUUUAUACUAGUUAGAGACUCAAUGUGAUUUUUUGGUCAAUCUAAGUCAUUGUGUAUGAAUUCAAUCAUUCAACACGUAGGUUCCAUGCAUUUGGAAAACUAGUUGAUGAUUAAUAAUGUUCAAUAUAUUAGGCUAUGAAUUGUUUAUGAAUUGAAUUAUUGAACAAUGUUACAUGUUCCAUGUAUUUGCAACUAGUUGAUGAUUGGUAGCUACCUAUCCUUUAAUUUUCCACACAACAAGACCAUUCAGUAAUAUUGGCUCUAUAUCUCCACUUGUUUGCCCACACCGUGGUUUAGCUGAAAAAACAGUGUACUGGAGGUGGAACAUGUUUUAAUAACAUUAAUAUGUAGAUAUUAUUAUUUAUGCAUUGAACCCUGUAUUGAUAAAAAUUCCACAUAGGUUACUUUAUUUGUCAUUUAUGCUUGAAUAUAUAAAUACAAAACAGUGUUUUUUCUUAUUAAAAUAGGGGGAUUUUAGGCUAGCUUUUGUUAUUCUAAUUAUACCCUUAAAUAAAUAAAAAAUCAAAUAAUGUAAUAUUGUUGGUAUAAUUAAAAAAAUAAGAAUUUUUGUUAUAUUAUUGUUGUCAUUGAGUAAGAUAAAUAUGGUUUGUUGAGUUUGUUACAUUUGAAAGUCACAUAUAUUUAUACUUAUAAUUUUAAUCUAUAUCAAAGAGUUUAUAUAAAAUAUCGGUUGUAAUUUACACGCAAAAUUUCUAUAAAUUAUCGUAGAUAAUCUAUACACGUUAACGUAUUAAAAAGAGUAGAAAGAUGCGCAUGUGACUGCCCGUAUUUUGGUCCCUUAACUUCUCUCUCUUACACAUUUUGGUCCUUUCCAUUAGUUUAAUUCAAAAACGUUGAAUUUUCUUCAUCUUCUUCUCCUCUUUUUCAUCUUCAUAUCAUCUCCAUCAACCUUCAACAACAAGAAUCCCAAAAAAAAUUAUAGAAGAAAAUGAAGAAAACCUAACGUUUUUGAAUUAAAACUAACGGAAAUGGCCAAAAUGUGUAACAGAGAGAAGUUAUGAGACCAAAAUAAAUCGAAUUUUAAUUAAGGGAUCAAAGCGAUACUACCUAAAUAGUUAAGGGACCAAAAAUGCAAUUUAGCCUAUAAUCUAAUAUCAUCGUUAUUAAAUAUUAUUUUAUAAUCUAAUAUCAUUGUUAUUAAAUUUUAUAGCAAGUAUCAAACGAAGAACCGAGAGUUGUUGUUUGAUAUUGUUAUUUAAUCAUGUCUCGUAUAUCAAAGGAAGGAUCGAGAGGUAAAAUUUGAUAUUGGAAUAAAUGAGAUUGUAAACGAUAAGCAAAAUAUGAGAAAAAUUUUGUGACUCUUAUGACAAUAAGGUUAUAAGGUUGCACUCAAAAAGUUUUAAUGAUUAUCAACUAUGAGAAUAGGUUUAAUUACUGUUGAGAUACAUUCAUGUAAUCUGAUAGGAAACAUGAAAUAUCAAAGAACAUCUUGUCCUUAGAAACGAAUAGAGAAAUAUAUAGGGAAUGUUUAGAAUUUAACUUUAUGAUGAAAACCUCAAUCUCAUGACGCAUUUUAAUAUCUGAAUUUUAAUCUAAAAAAUCAUUGCACUUAAUCAACUUAUCUUUUUCAGCUAAUCAAGACUAAAAAUUAGAUUAGAAUUUACUUUAAGUCCAUGUGAAUCGAUAUUUUACUAGAACCGUACACUUGCAGAAACCUAUCAAAGACCCUAUUGAUGUAUAUGGAAUCGUAGUUACCUAUCAAAGCUACAAAAUUUAGAUCGGACUUGGGGGUCUUUCUAACCGUUCUUGAAGUCGUAGGGGGGUUCGUUUACCGGAUGUAGCAUCGAAGGCUUGAGUGCAGAGUUCGAAGGGGUGCACAAGUAUUCAAGGAUCCGAAGAUUCAAGAAGCACCAAAUUUAAGGGUUACUUGGAGUUUGGGGGAGUGUUUUACAUAGGAGUUGAAGAAUUAGGUUUUAAUUUCAAGGAACUCUUGUAAACACAUUGUAUUCAACAUUUGUUACAUGGUGGAUGAUCUCGGUGAAGAUGUACUUAAUCAAGAAGAGUAGAGGUAGAUCUAGAGAGGACGAGAAAGAGCAAUCUAUUAUAAAAAUAUCGGUGUGAUCUCUCUUUCCCUAUCCUCUUUACUUUUAGAUAUUGCAUGUGAUUAAUUGAAUAAUUUUUAGGAUAAUUUCUAGUGUUGAUCUAAGUUGUUUUUCAUUGAAAAUCAAUCUAAUUCAUUGAAUUAGGUUUCAUAUAAUUUGCUUAGAUCAAUUGAAUGCAAAAUCUAUUCAAUUCUUCAAUUACACAUGUAUUGUGUUUUUUAUUUGAUAACUUAGUAAUUUUGUUCAUAUAGAUUUGGUUUGAAAUUGUCUAUUGUUUUAUACAUUGUUCAAGGAAUAUUAAAGUUUGAUUGUAUAAUAACAUUUAGUAACAAGGUGAUUGCAACACUUGAAAAAUUGUUAGCUGAUAUAGUGAUAUAGUAACAAUUGAGUAAAAGUGUUAGAUCCAAUACAACAAGUACCAUCCCUAAAAAAAAAACAAAAAUACAAGUAACAAUAGAACUCAUUCGUUAUUCAUUCACGUGUUAAAAAAUUUAGCUGAAAAAACAGUGUACUGGAGGUGGAACCUGUUUUAAUAACAUUAAUAUAUAGAUAUUAUUAUAUAUGCAUUGAACCCUGUAUGAUUUAUUGAUAAAAAUUCCACAUUACGUUAUUUGUCAUUUAUGCUUGAAUAUAAAAAUACAAAACAGUGUUUUUUCUUAUUAAAUUUUUUAAUUAAUUUAUAAAGACUUUUAAUAACUUAGUGUUUACCAAUUGCACUCAUUAAUUCUUAAUUAUAGAAUAAUUGUAAACCCAUUUUAGAUCCUCCAAAAAUGAAGAAAGCUCAUUCUUAGGACAACACAAAAUGGAAGAAACUCAAGAUUGUUGGCAUAUUGGUAGACUAUUUCUGUUUGACAAAUUCAAUAAUCUAGUUUAUAGUUUAUAAGUCCGAAUGAUUAAAAAAUAUAUGUUUCAUAACUGUUUUUUCAUCACAAGUUUUAUAGUUUAUUUUAUUAGUUUGUAGGUUUUUUUUUAGACUUUAUUCCAAAUGUGGAAUAACGUUUGAGAUUAUAGUUUAUCCUUUAUAAUCUAUAUUAUAUAUAAUGAAAAUAGGGGGAUUUUAGGCUAUCUUUUUUGUUAUUCUAAUUAUAUCCUUAAAUAAAAAGAAAUCAAAUAAUGUAAUAUUGUUGGUGUAAUUAAAAAAAUAAGAAUUUUUGUUAUAUUAUUGUUGUCAUUGAGAAAGAUAAAUAAAUAUAGUUUGUUGAGUUUGUUACAUUUGAAAGUCACAUAUAUUUAUACUUAUAAUUUCAAUCUAUAUCAAAGAGUUUAUAUAAAAUAUCGGUUGUAAUUUACAAGCAGAAUUUCUAUAAAUUAUCAUAGAUAAUCUAUACACGUUCACGUAAUAAAAAAAAGCAGAAAGAUGCGCACGUAAAUGCCCGUCUUUGCACUAGUUUAUUAUAAAAAAAAUGCUAAAAUGUUCAGUUCUUUUGGUCAUACUGCACAAAUUAUUUGGUAGCUUGACAUAUAUGUUACUGAUGUAAACUUCACUCUCACUUUAAUUAUGUUACUCCACAGUCCUCUAAAAUUGUGUUUCUCUUUUUUCCCUAAAACUUCUCUUUUGGAUUAUUCAAUCCGAAUUAAGUUGUUUCUGGUUUGAAAUAUAUAAUUUGAACUGCUUCUAUAUAUGUUUUCUCUUUAUUUUGUGGCUAUUUAUUAAUUGUGUGUAUAUCUGAUUUUAACACUUUCAAAUAUUGAUCGCAUGGGCUGUGUUAGGAAUGAUAGAAUUUCCUUGACUGCAUCUUCUAGGUGAGAGCAGACGUAGAAGAAUGUACUAGAAAGGAGAGUGGUCAAGGGCAGGGGCAUGGUCCGCAAUGCUGAGACGCAGAGAGGUCGUCAGUUCCUAGACAUUAGUGGAAGUUUAGGGCGCAUCGGGGAACAUGUCAGAAAUAUUUAACUUUUUUAGUGAAUAUUUUUUUAAUUUAAAAUUUUUAAAGAGUGUCUCGAAGAUACUCGUUGGCAAGACUGAUAAGUUGUAGUUAAUGGUGUUUUUAACAUUUAAAUUCAAUAAUAUUUACGUUGUUUUAGUUUUAAUUUAGAUUCAUUUUACUGGAAAGCAUUAGUUUUUGUUUUCAUAAUCAAAAAUUUGAAGAACAGUGUACCUGGAUCAAGAGCGAGGAUAAAGAGCCAUAAAGCAACAACAUGGAUUGUUCGUGGUUCCAUCUGGGUUGUGCACUUCUUAAAAUGUCAGAAUUUCAAAAGUUGAAGUACAAGCACGACCGUGCCCCCCAACACCGUAGAAAUAAGCAUGAUUGUGCGCUUCAGAAGCACGACUUUGCACCCCUCAAAACAUGUCAAAAGUUGGAAAGGUGAUCAUGACCGUGUACCCUUGAAGCAUGACUGUGCACCCUUGAAGCACGACCGUGCGUCUUGUGCAGAGAAAAUAGUUGUUACAACCUUUUAGAAUUCUUUAGUUUAUGGCUUGUAACUCGUUUUUAAUAUAUUAUAUGAGGCUCUAGGCUAUAAAUAUACCUCACUUCUAAGGAAAAAAGAAUCUUAGAUACUUGUAAACUUACUCUAAAGUUGAAAACAUAAUUUUGCAAUGUUCUAAGUUCUUUGUUCUUUAUUUUUCAUUUCUUUACAUUUGUGUUCUUUACUCUUCUGUUCUUUACAUUUUAAGUUAUUUACUUUCAUGUCUUUUACUUUCUUGUCUUUAUAUAUUAAUCAUUCGUCUACUAUGAGAGAGAGAGAGAGAGAGAGAGAGAGAGAGAGAGAGAGAGAGAGAGAGAGAGAGAGAGAGAGAGAGAGAGAGAGAGAGAGAGAGAGAGAGAGAGAGAGAGAGAGAGAGGUGAUAUUAGUGCAGAACACAUAGCAAAAGAGAAUGAAAAAAGAAGAUCCCGAUCCUUUUCUAAAGGAGAAUCAACCAUCUAUAUAACGACAAAUUUAAACCCAUCAAGUACAAAAAAACGAUCAAGGUAAAAAAUAUAAACGGAACAUUGAACAAUUUUAUUAAAUUAUAAUAAACUUCAAAGGGUAAAAUUGGUUUUUAGAUAAACAUAUAAGGGGUUACCAAAUAGGGUUACAAGUUAUAAGCUUGUGAAGAAAACGUCUUGGUUGACUUCAAUGACUAAAGUAACUAAGACCAAAGAGUGAAUGAUUUAAUUCGGAUUUUAUCUAAGUCAUUGACCAAAAUUACAUCUUGUUACACUUUUAAGGAGAAAAAUGGUUGUUUUCUCAAUAAUGUUUUCCAAUAUUAAAUUAAUGUUGUUUUCUGCCUUAGGGAUGUUACCAAUUUGUUAUGUUGGAGUUACCUUUAGUGCUAAGAAACCUUUAGACCAAUAAAAAUAUUUUGAGUCCCUUUUAAAGUGGUAAAUACACUAAUAUAAAGUCAUUGUCAAUUGAUGUUAGGACUAUUUAUUAAUAAUGCAAUAUUUACUUGUUGUUCUUUGGUAGACACUUAAGGUGCGUUUGAUUUGUUAAAAAAUGAAGGACAGAACAACUCUAGUUGUCCAGUGUUUGAUUUGUAAAACUGUUUUAGGUACAAGACAAUUUGGAGGCAAGGGACAGGACAAAAACUCAUUUUUGUCCCUCACCAACCCACAACACAACUUUUUGUCCCACGUACAAGUUGUCUAAAAUACCAAAAUAGCAUUUUGUCCCUCAAAAAUCGUAUAAAACAAAAAAUUACUCAAUGCCAUAAAAAAUUUGUCCUGUCUUGUUCUGCCUUGUGUUGUACUGUUCUAUCUUGUACUGUUUUGUCCGGUACUUGCUGUUUUGCAAACCAAACACACCCUUAGAGGUCAUUUUUGUGGACUGUAGGUACCUAAAGCUCUAUGAACUUGGUUAUAUCAUAGAUAACGUCGUAUUGGAAAAACGGAAAUGAAAGACUCAUCUCUCACUCUACUUAGGGCUAGCCAAUUGUCAAACGCCAAUUGUCAAACUUGGUUACAAUUAAUUUUUUUUGGAAAACUUAUUUUGAAUUUUCUACAUGUCAUGAAAAAUUCAAAUUUCUGUUUUCUGAUUAGAAGAUCAAUAAACGGUUCAAUAUCAUCACAAUCUCCAAAUCAUAACUUCAUUCAUUUGCAAAUCUAGAGCACAUAUAUCACGAUUUUCUAUCAUGAUUUGCAUUGAUAUAAGUAAGUAUAACACAUAUAUUUUACUCUUAACUUAGCCAUACAUUGCGGAUUUACUUAGUAGAUAGAGUAAUGUUUUUUUUUAAACAACAAAUUUUAUUCAUAAGCUAACCCAACACAAGAAGUGAAGAGGCUAGAGGAAACACACAAGACAACAGAUACAUAAAGACAACUAAACCACCCAAACAAUCCUUAAUACAAUAGAAUAACAUCAGAAAAACCAGCCACCUAAACUUCCUAGUACCAUGAAACAAUGUCAGGUCGCGUUGAUUUUUAGGCUGGAGGGCAAUGUUUGUUUCGGAAGUUCUCGACUUUCUUCAACAAAGGGUAGUGCUUUUUGCAGAAAUCGGGUAUAUGGGGUAUAUGUACUGGUUUAUCUUUUGGGAUUAAAUUUUUGAUUUUUGGGAUUAAUGCUUCAACUGCGGGACCAAAGCUAACAGCAUCAGCAAAAUGUUGUUGAGGAGCAAGCAUAAAAGCAGCAAGGAAUAACACUAAUAAGGAUAAGAAAAAUGAAUUAGCCAUUUUAAGAAGUGAUAUAAUUAUUAGUGUUGGUGCAUAAUACAUAUGGAGUAUACUGGUUUUAUACUAGUUAGAGACUCAAUGUGAGUUUAUGGUCGAUCUAAGUCAUUUACUAAAUGUCAAAAUUGUGUAUGAAUUGAAUUAUUCAACAAUGUUACAAGUUCCAUGUAGUUGCUACUAGUUUAUGAAUUGAAUUAUUCAUUCGAUUCUCCGCGCGACUCAGGUGCAUGCCGAAACCGUUUUAAUUAUAUGAGCAAAUUAAUAAAUAAAUGGGUUGGUGCUUAUGAUGGUGCUAAGCGUUUGCAAGGAAGCGGUUGGUCGAAAGAUGAUGUUUUGGAAAAAGCCCAUGAAUUAUAUGUGAAACACCCCGUUUUCCCAACUUGAAUUUUUUUGCAUAAAUCAGAGUAAAACAACUAAACAGGAUGCUGCACUUCUUUCAAAUCUGAAUAUAGUAAAAUUACUAAUUAUCUCAAUCAUCAAAUUAAAUCUUAUUGCAGCGGAAAUUAGUUCAACGUUUAAAACAACCUUGGCACAAAGGCCUCAAUGUAAAAUCUCAUAAAAUUAUUCCAACAACAUGUUCAUAAAACUUCAUAAAAUAAUACGUAAGGAACGUAAAGCAACAACAAAAUUCUCAUCCCGUUACGUAUCAGAGCACCUAAGACACACGUGAGAGAAUCCACUCACGACCGCAACUAUUCUUGGUUACCUGCAAGUUACUCAAUUGUGAGGGCAACAUUUCCAAGCAGAAGGGGUGAGAUUUCACAUUCAAUAAUAAUAAGCAUAUAAUUCAUCAAAUUCAUUUAACAACUUAAACUUCAUCAAUUAGUAACACUAACUCUUCGCAUAAAUACUUCAUUAAUUAAUAACAUUAACUCUUCCUAUAAGACUUCAUUAAUAACUCAAUCAACUUCUAAUCAUCAUUAACUUCAUAUUCAUCACAUUAUAUACAACGUCAUACAGCACGUAAUAAUCAAAUCAUAAACAUCAUCAUAUAAAAACCUAAUCAUCACAUCAUAAACAUCAUCUUAUAACAUCAUAUAGUUCACAUCAUAAACAUCAUCAUAUAACAACAUAAACAUCACAACAUAAACAUGAAAUAAGGUUAUAAGGUUGCACUCAAAAAGUUUUAGUGAUAGUCAACUAUGAGAAUAGGUCUAAUUACUGUUGAGAUACAUUCAUGUAAUCUUAUAGGAAACAUGAAAUACCAAAGAACAUCUUGUCCUUAGAAAUGAAUAGAGAAAUAGAUAUGGAAUGUUUAGGAUUUAACUUUAUGAUGAAAACCGCAAUCUCAUGACGCAUUUUUAUAUCUAAAUUUUAAUCAAAAAAAAUAAUUGCACUUAAUCAAUUUAUUUUUUUCAGCUAAUCAAAACUAAAAAUUAGAUUAGUAUUUACUUAAAGUCCAUGUGAAUCGAUAUUUUACUAGAACCGUACACUUGCGUAAACCUAUCAAAGACCCUAUUGAUGUAUAUGGAAUCGUAGUUACCUAUCAAAGCUACAAAAAAAAUUAGAUCGGAAUUGGGGUCUUUCUGACCAUUCUUGAAGUCGAAGGGGGUUCGUUUACUGGAUGUAGCAUCGAAGGCUUGAGUGAAGAGUUCGAAGGGGUGCACGGGUAUUCAAGGAUCUGAAGAUUCAAGAAGCACCAAAUUUAAGGGUUACUUGGAGUUUGGGGGAGUGUUUUACAUAGGAGUUGAAGAAUUAGGUUUUAAUUUCAAGGAACUUUUGUAAACACAUUUGUAUUCAACUAUUAUAAAAAUAUCGGUGUUAUCUCUCUUUCCCUAUCCUCUUUACUUUUAGCUAUUGCAUGUGAUUAAUUGAAUAAUUUUUAGAAUAAUUGCUAGUGUUGAUCUAAGUUAUUUUUCAUUGAAAAUCAAUCUAAUUCAUUGAAUUAGGUUUCAUAUAAUUUGCUUAGAUCAAUUGAUUGAAAAAUCUAUUCAAUUCUUCAAUUACACAUGUAUUGUGUUUUUGAUUUGAUAACUUAGUAAUUUUGUUCAUGUAGGUUUGGUUUGAAAUUGUCUAUUGUUUUGUACAUUGUUCAAGGAAUAUUAAAGUUUGAUUGUAUAAUAAGAUUUGUAUCGUGAAUCUCUCAAUUCUAAGAUUAAGUCUCAUUGCACAUAUAUUUGACCUUUUGAUUCCUUGAUUGUCAUUGUUCGACCACGAAUCCAAUAGUCAAUUUUGUUGAGAGAGAGAGAGAGAGAGAGAGAUUGGAUGGACGGGUGAUAUUAGUGCAGAACACAGCAAAAGAGAAUCGAAAAAAGAGGAUCUUGAUCCUUUUCUAAAGGAGAAUCAACCAUCUAUAUAAUGACAAUUUUAAACCCAUCAAGUACAAAAAUAACGAGCAAGGUGAAAAUAUAAACGUAACAUUGAACUAUUUUAUUAAAUGAUAAUAAACUUCAAAGGGUAAAAUUGGUUUUUAGAUAAACAUAUAAGGGGUUACUAAAAAGGGUUACAAGUUUUUUUUUUUUUUUGAAAGAAGGGAUACAAAUUAUAAGCUUGCGAAGAAAAGACGGUUAUCAAACACAGCCUAUGCAGCUCAUGAAGCUGCCAUAAAAAUUUUAAUAGUGGGGGAUGUUUAAUGAAGAUUAGUAGUAGUGUUACGUUAUUCAUGGAGCUAUAGUUAUAAAUAAUUUUAAAGUGGGUAAUGUUUAUUGAAGAUAGGGAGAUCGAAGCGGAAAUGCUGAAAAAUGAUGAUGGAAAAAUAUAAAUCGAUAUUAUCUUUUAUUUUAGUCAGAAUUUAAAUUUGGUAUUUUUCAGUAUCCAUGUCGGCGAUUUUGACUAAUUUUGAUUAAGUAAACGUCUUAGUUGACUUCAAUGACUAAAGUAACUAAGAACAAAGAGUGAAUGAUUUAAUUCGGGUUUUAUCUAAGUCAUUGACCAAAAUUACAUCUUGUUACACUUUUAAGGAGAAAAAUGGUUGUUUUCCCAAUAAUGUUUUCCAAUAUUAAAUUAAUGUUGUUUUCUGCCUUAGGGAUGUUACCAAUUUGUUAUGUUGGAGUUACCUUUAGUGCUAAGAAACCUUUAGACCAAUAAAAAUAUUUUGAGUCCCUUUUAAAGUGGUAAAUACACUAAUAUAAAGUCAUUGUCAAUUGAUGUUAGGACUAUUUAUUAAGAAUGCAAUAUUUACUUGUUGUUCUUUGGUAGACACUUAGAGUUCAUUUUUGUGGACUGUAUGAACUUGGUUAUAUCAUAGUUAACGUCGUAUUAGACAAACGGAAAUGAAAGACUCAUCUCUCACUCUACUUAGGACUAGCCAAUUGUCAAACUUGGUUACAAUUUAUUUUGUUUGGAAAACUUAAUUUGAAUUUUCUACAUGUCAUGAAAAAUUCAAAUUUCUGUUUUCUGAUUAGAAGAUCAAUAAACGGUUCAAUAUCAUCACAAUCUCCAAAUCAUAACUUCAUUCAUUUGCAAAUCUAGAGCACAUAUAUCACGAUUUUCUAUCAUGAUUUGCAUUGAUAUAAGUAAGUAUAACACAUAUAUUUUACUCUUAACUUAGCCAUACAUUGCGGAUUUACUUAGUAGAUAGAGUAAUGUUUUUUUUUAAACAACAAAUUUUAUUCAUAAGCUAACCCAACACAAGAAGUGAAGAGGCUAGAGGAAACACACAAGACAACAGAUACAUAAAGACAACUAAACCACCCAAACAAUCCUUAAUACAAUAGAAUAACAUCAGAAAAACCAGCCACCUAAACUUCCUAGUACCAUGAAACAAUGUCAGGUCGCGUUGAUUUUUAGGCUGGAGGGCAAUGUUUGUUUCGGAAGUUCUCGACUUUCUUCAACAAAGGGUAGUGCUUUUUGCAGAAAUCGGGUAUAUGGGGUAUAUGUACUGGUUUAUCUUUUGGGAUUAAAUUUUUGAUUUUUGGGAUUAAUGCUUCAACUGCGGGACCAAAGCUAACAGCAUCAGCAAAAUGUUGUUGAGGAGCAAGCAUAAAAGCAGCAAGGAAUAACACUAAUAAGGAUAAGAAAAAUGAAUUAGCCAUUUUAAGAAGUGAUAUAAUUAUUAGUGUUGGUGCAUAAUACAUAUGGAGUAUACUGGUUUUAUACUAGUUAGAGACUCAAUGUGAGUUUAUGGUCAAUCUAAGUCAUGUACUAAAUGUCAAAAUUGUGUAUGAAUUGAAUUAUUCAACAAUGUUACAUGUUCCUUCCAUGUAUUUGCUACUAGUUGAUGAUCAGUCCCUACCUAUCCUUUAAUUUUCCACACAACAAGACCAUUCAGUAAUAUUGGCUCUAUCUCUCCACUUGUUUGCCCACCAUGGUUUAGCUGAAAAAACAGUGCAACUUGUUUCAAUAACAUUAAUAUAUAUAGAUAUUACUAUUUAUAUAUGCAUUGAACCCUGUAUGAUUUAUUUAUUUAUAAAAAUUCCAAAUAGGUUACUUUAUUUGUCAUUUAUGCUUGAAUAUGAAAAUACAAAACAGUGUUUUUUCUCAUUAAAAUUUUUACUAUAAAGAUUUUUAAUAACUUAGUGUUUACCAAUUGCACUUACUAAUUCUUAAUUAUAGAAUGAUGAUUAAAAAUUGUAUGUUUCAUAACUGUUUUUCAUCACAAGUUUAUAGUUCACUUCUCAGACGUUAUUCCAAAUAACGUUUGAGAUUAUAGGUUAUCAUUUUAAUUUCAUGUUUACCUUUAUUAUUUUGUUUAAGAUUUAUUUUUAUCCUUUUUAAUAUAUACUAUUUAUAAAGAAAAUAUAGGGAUUUUGGGCUGACUUUUUUGUUAUUCCAAUUAUACCUUUAAAUAAAAAAAAAUCAAAUAAUGUGAUAUGGUUGGUGUUAAUAAAAAGAUAAGAAUUUUUGUUAUAUUAUUGUUGUCAUUGAGAAUCAUAAAUAUUGUUUGUUGAGUUUGUUACAUUUGAAAGUCACAUAUCAUACUUUUAAUUUUUGUCUAUAUCAAAAAAUUUAUAUAAAAUAUCGUUUGUAAUUUACACGCAGAAUUUCAAUAAAUUAUCGUAAAUAAUUUAUACACAUUAACGUAAUAAAAAGAGCAGAAAGAUGAACAUGUGAAUGCUCGUCUUUUCGCUAGUUUAUUAUAAAGAAUAUGCUAAAUGUUUGGUUCUUUUGUCAUACUACACAAAUUAUUUGGUAGCUUUAUAUAUAUGUUACUAAUGUUAAUUUCACUCUCACUUUAAUUAUGUUACUCCAGAGUCCCUCUGAAAUAAUGUUUCUCUUUUUGCCCUAAAACUUCUCUCUUGCCAUCCAAAAUUUAAAACUCCCAUAUUAUAUGAUUCAUGAAGAUUUUUUGCUUCAAAACAUUGAUCAGGUCUUUUCAAACACGGACAACAAGGUAGGGUAUCAUUCCUUCCCUUUAGUGUUAUUUGAAUCUUUUUUUUUUUUCUUCUGUAAACUAAAACCUUAUAGAUUAUAUAAUAAUCUGAAUCAAGUUGUUCCUGGUUUGGAUUAUAUAAUUUGACAUGCUUCUAUAUAUAUGUUGUUUUGUUAUUUUGUGGAUAUUUUUUUAUUUUUUUUAGACAAAAGAGGAAUUAAAUUAAAAUAGAAAAGGAGGUAUAAGAUUGGGGGCAAUGACCUGACCAGUAAACCACAAAAUCAAAAUACAACAAUUUCAGUACAAAGUGGUAUACAACGAACACAACCCUAAACAAUCACUACUACGGACAAUUCAGCGAACCCACGUAUGAGCGCCAAACCGAAUUGCAAAAAAAACGUAGAGUGAGUAUUCAGAACUUCUAAAUAGGCGUAUGGAUCGACUGCCAACACAAAAACGAUCCAAGAUCAAGCAGCUCCCAUCAAAUAUCAGCAAGCAAUAAACGCCCUUUCGGGCCAACCAUUCCAGUCGUAGUUCAGUUCGAGGGAUGAACAAACGACAUAAAUGUAAAGCAGUCCACUGACAACGCAUAAAGCAACCGUAGCAGAUAAAGUCCUGCAGGUACGACAUCAACAACUAUCGUCAACCAGAGCGUCUACGCACUUAGCCCUUUCGUGCAUAUCAGGCGAAACAAGUCUUGUUGAAUCCAGAUCGAGGGAUGGUAUCCAACCAAACAUCGCACAAAUGAACAGAACCAUAACCAAAUCUUAAAUCCAGACAAACCAAAUUCAAAAUUUCAACUAAACCGGAUAGCCAGAAUAAGACCACCACCAAUCUUCAUCUUCCCGAAACAACAUAAAACACCAUUCGAUUCUUCAUGGUCUUCUUCUUUCAAACUAGUGCGUCUUCCUGGAACCGCCAUUGAUGUGAAAUUCGACUAUCUUUGCCGCCGCUUCAACUUCAAACUACUAUGCCAUUGACGCUUUUAAUUUAGUGGGAGAAAAAAGAAAAAGAUCGAAAUGAAAGUAGAAGAAGAAGGUUUGGUGUGUGUUUUUGAAGAAGAAGACGAAGAAAAAAAAAAGUUUGUGUUGUUACGUGUGAGAGGGUGUGGUGGUAAGCUUGUAUAUGAGAGAGAAAUAUAUGUCUAGAGUUUUGAUGUCUAAAGAAGACCACAAUUAAUGUGACAUUGGAAAAUGAAAGGGUGGAUGCAUGGGUACCAAAAUCUCAUAAUUAUUUGUUGGAAGAUGCAUAAGGAAGAGAGAGUUAUCCCCAAUAAAUGAGAGUGGGGAAUAGUUGAAAGAAGUGGCUUUUACAAAGUAGAAUGCUGAUUAGAAUUAACAAUUAAGUGUAGAUGAUCAACGGUUGAUGUUGAAUGGCGCCUAAAUGAUGAUCAGCAUCCAAUGGCUUGCAAAAUUGGAGAGAAAAAUGAGGGGGGAAAAUUAGGGUUAAGGAUAGCUUCGGGGGAUAAGCUUUAGUAAGUAAGAUUGUCUUAUAUACUUACAUUAUUUUAGGUCUAAAUUUCAGAAACCAUUAUUUGACAAUUUUUUUGACAAUUUUAUCUCACAUACUCACAUUAUAUUUUUACUUCUCUUUUUGUUGUUUUGGUUUUUAUUUUCAUACCUAAUUUUCCUUGUAAAUCUAUAGUUGUCUCAUAAAUUAUCGUUAAAAUUGUUGUUCAAAUAACACAACUCUUAUUUCUAAUACUCAAAAUUUGUUCAAAUUAAGUUUUUAAAGAACUUCUAAUAAAGUCAGAUUAAAGUUUUUUUGAACUUUUUAAAUACUUAAAUUGAAUUUUCUCCAAUAUACAUAUUAGAGAAAGAAAAAAAAUAAUGAUAGGAGGGAGAUGCAAAACUUAUGUUUUCUUUCUCUAGAAACAUAUUUUGAGUUUUCAAUAUCAUCAAAAUCUCAAAAUCAUAAACUUUAUUUAUUUGCAAAUCUAGAGCACAUAUAGCGCGAUUUUCUCUCAUAAUUUACAUUGAUAUAACACAUAUUAUGUUCUUACCUUGCCCAAACAUUCGGGAUUUAAUUGAUGAUGUAAAAGACGUUUUUAAAUGUAGAAUAAGAAAGAUGGAAAACCUCCAAGCCAAAUUAUACACAAGAUAUACAAAUUAUACACAAAAAUUUCAAAUUUCAAUUUUCUCGAGAGUAUUCUUAAAUGAUCAAUCAAUGAUUCAAUAUAAUCACAAUCUCAAAAUCAUAAACUUUAUUUAUUUUCAAAUCUAGAGCACAUAUAGCGGGAGGAGAUUGUCUCGUGUGAUUUUUCUCUCAUGUGUAAUCCAGACCCUCCAUUAAAUAUGUGAGAUAAUGUGUUUGUAAUAUAAAAUGACCGAACGCAAGAUAAAUUGUUUUUUUCUAAACAAUAAAUUUUAUUCAUAAGCAUUCCCGUGAGCUUAGCUCAGUUGGUACGGAUAUUGCAUUUUAUAUGCAGGGGCUGAGGUUCGAACCCCAGACACCCCACUUCUCCACAAUUAAAUUGUGUGAGCUCUAACCACUAGACUACUUGACCAAGAAAAAAAGAAAUAUUCAUAAACUAACCCAACACAACACAAGAAGUGAAGAGGCUAUAGAGGAAAGACACAGGGUAACAAUACAUAAAGACAACUAAACCAAGGCUAAAAAGCCACAACACAUGUAAAUGGCUUAUCACAGCAGAAAACAAGGUAUAUCAAUAUCAUGUGUGACUACAAAACCGCCCAAACAACCCUUAAUACAAUAGAAUCACAGCAGAAAACACCCUUAGUAGAUAUUGAUAUGCCUUGCCGCGUUGAUGUUUUAGAAAUGUGCAGGUGGAGGGCAAUUACUGGGUCGGUUAUGCCCGUUUUUCCUCGAGCAGGGAUUUAAUGAGGGCUUUUGGGAUGGUUUAGGACGAGGGAAAGGUACUGGUUUGGAUGGAGUGAAAUGGGGUAAAUGCUUUAUGAUUCCUGGAGGGAGAUGUAUGGCAUCAACAGCAAAAUGUUGAGGAACAAACAUAAGAGCAGCAAGGAAUAACACUAAUAAGGAUAAGAAAAAGGAUUUAGCCAUUUUAAGAAGUGAUAUAAUUAUUAGUGUUGGUGCAUAAUACAUAGGGAGUUAAACUGGUUUUAUACUAGUUAGAGACUCAAUGUGAGUCUAUCGUCAAUCAAAGUUAAAAUUGUGCACGAAUUGAAUUAUUCAACAAUGUUACAAGUUCCAUGUAUUUGAUACUAGCUGAUGAUCAUUUAGUAUUAUUGGCUCUAUCUCUCCACUUGUUUGCGCACAUGGUUUACCUGAAAAAACAGUGUACUGGAGGUGCAACUUGUUUUAAUAGCAUUUUUUGUUGAGCACAUCAUGAGACAACACCGACAUCCUAACUAGAUUAGUAUUUCAGGACGCCUCCGUCCUAUGCCUGCCAAUCUCUAAAUUUUAUUAAAAAAGGGUAAAAAUAUAUACAAGGAGAGUGAGGACUAGGCCAAAAUCCUCAAUGAAAAAACCAAAGGAAACAAUAAAAAAUAAAGCCUACUGAAAUCUAUAAUUGGGUGAGCCAAUUCUGUCUCUAUAGAAGUCGAAAUGCAACUCUGCACGAAGCGUGUCUAACCAAACAGAACCCUGAAUAUCAUGACCCUCGGACAUUCCAAUAUAACAUCAUUGGGAAGAUGGAGGAAGACCACUCUUUCCAAGGAUUUGAUAAUGCGGCUUUCCGAAGACUUACUUCUUCAUAUUUAACGCGGCUUUUUUGAGAGAACUUGCGUAAAUCCUUUCUUUACGGCCCGUUGAUCGUAUUCUUUGAUUCUGGCCCAUAAAUCCAAGUCAUUCUGUACGUUUUUGCUAGUGUUUUAAUAACAUUAAUAUAUAGAUAUUACUAUUUAUAUAUGCAUUGAACCUGUAUGAUUUAUUUAUAAAAAUUCCAAAUAAAUUACUUUAUUUGUCAUUUAUGCUUGAACAUAAAAAUACAAAACAUUGUUUUUUCUCAUUAAAAAAUUUAAUUAAUUUAUAAAGCUUUUUAAUAAAUUAGUGUUUACCAAAUUGCACUCAUUAAUUCUUAAUUAUUGAAUGAUUGUAAACUCAUUUUAGAACCUCCAAAAAUGAAGAAAGCUCAUUCUUAGGACAACACAAAAUGGAAAACACUCAAGAUUGUUGGCAUAUUGGUAGACUAUUUCUAUCUGACAAAUUCAAUAAGCUAGUUUAUAGUUUAUAAGUCCGAAUGAUUAAAAAAUGUAUGUUUCAUAACCGUUUUUUCAUCACAAGUUUUAUAGUUUAUUUUAUUAGUUUGUAGCUUAUUUUUUAGACGUUAUUUUAAAUAACGUUUGAGAUUAUAGUUUAUCAUUUUUAUUUGUGUUUACCUUUAUUAUUCUGUUUAAGAUUUAUUUUUAUCCUUCAUAAUCUAUACUACUACCGUUUAUUCUGUUUGACAUUAUAGUUUAUUUUUAUUUGUAGUAUAUAUAAAGAAAAUAGGGGGAUGUUAGGCUAGCUUUUUUGUUACUCUAAUUAUACCCUAAAAUAAAUAAAAAGUCAAAUAAUAUUAUAUUGUUGGUGUUAUUAAAAAGAUAAGAAUUUUUGUUAUAUUAUUGUUGUCAUUGAGAAAGAUAAAUAUGGUUUAUUGAGUUUGUUACAUUUGAAAGUCACAUAUAUUUAUACUUGUAAUUUUAAUCUAUAUCAAAGAGUUUUUAUAAAAUAUAGGUUGUAAUUUACACGCAGAAUUUCUAUAAAUUAUCGUAGAUAAUCUAUACACGUUAACGUAGUAAAAAGAGAAGAAAGAUGCGCACGUGAGUGCCCGUCUUUUCACUAGUUUAUUAUAAAGAAAAUGUUAAAAUGUUCAAUUAUUUUGGUCAUACUGCACGAAUUAUUUGGUAGCCUGGCAUAUAUGUUACUAAUGUUAAUUUCACUCUCACUUUAAUUAUGUUACUCCACAGUCCUCUAAAAUCGUGUUUCUCUUUUUGCCCUAAAACUUCUCUUUUAUGUUACUCCACAAUCCUCUAAAAUCGUGUUUCUCUUUUUGCCCUAAAACUUCUCUUUUUGAUUAUUCAAUCCGAAUCAAGUUGAUCUGGUUUGGAUUAUAUAAUUUGAACUGCUUUUAUAUAUGUUGUUUCUUUAUUUUGUGGAUAUUUGUUAAUUGUUUGUACAUCUGAUUUUAACACUUUCAAAUAUUGACCGCAUGGGCUGUGUUAGGAACGAUAGAAUUUCCUUGACUGCAUCUUCUAGGUGAGAGCGUAUGUAGAAGAAUGUAGUGGAAAGGAGAGUGGUCAAGGGCAUGGGCAUGGGCCGCAAUGCUGAGACGCAGAGAGGUCGUCAGUUCCUAGACAUUAGUGGACAGUUACGGCGCAUCGAGGAACAUGUCAGAAGUAUUUAACUUUUUUAGUGAAGAUUUUUUUAAUUUAGAAUUUUUAAAGAGUGUCUCGAAAACACUCAUUAGCAAGACUGAUAAGUUGUAGUUUAUGGUGUUUUUAUCAUUUAAAUUCAAUAAUAUGUACGUUGUUUUAGUUUUAAUUUAGAUUCAUUUUACUGGAAAACAUUAGUUUUUAUUUUCAUAAUCAAAAUUAUGAAGAACAUUAUACCUAGAUUAAGAGCGAGGAAAAAGAGCCAUGAAAGAGCCAUAAAGCAGCAGCACGGAUGGUCCGUGGUUCCAUCUAGGUCGUGGAGUUCUUAAAAUGUCAAAAUUUCAAAAGUUGAAGUACAAGCACAACCGUGUGCCCCAACACGGUAGAAACAAGCAUGAUUGUGCACUUCAGAAGCACGACUUUUGCACCCCUCAAAACACAACAAAAUGUCAAAAGUUGGAAAGGUGAGCAUGACCGUGCACCCUUGAAGCACGACCGUGAGUCUUGUGCAGAGAAAAAUAGUUGUUACAACCUCUUAAAGUUCUUUGGUUCAUGGCUUGUAACUUGUUUUUAAUAUAUUUGUCUGAGGCUCUAGGCUAUAAAUAUACCUCACUUCUAAGGAAAAAAGAAUCUUAGAUACUUGUAAACUUACUCUAAAGUUGAAAGCAUAAUUUUGCAAUGUUUUAAGUUCUUUGUUCUUUAUUUUUCAUUUCUUUACAUUUGUAUUCUUUACUUUUCUGUUCUUUACAUUUUCAGUAUUUUAUCUUCAUGUCUUUAUAUUUUAAUCACAUGUCUAUUAUGAUCAUAUGUUAGUAAACAAACUAUUCUAGUCUUGGAAUUGUUAGAAUAAUCAAUCUAAUGAUUGAAUGUUAAUCAACCCAAGUCUAGACUCUAUUUUAUAAGAAUCCAUUUUAUAAUCUAAUAUCAUCGUUACUAAAUUUUAUUUUAUAAUCUAAUAUCAUUGUUAUGAAAUUUUAUAACAAGUAUCAAACAAAGAACUGAGAGUUGAUGUUUGAUAUUGUUAUUUAAUCAUGUCUAAGAUAUCAAACGAAGGACCGAGAGGUGAAAUUUGAUAUUGGAAUAAAUGAGAUUGUAAGAGAUAAGCAAAAUAUGAAAAUAAUUUUAUGACUCUUAGGACAAUAAGGUUAUAAGGUUGCACUCGAAAAGUUUCAAUGAUAAUCAACUAUGAGAAUAGGUUUAAUUACUGUUGAGAUACAUACAUUCAUGUAAUCUGAUAGGAAACUGAUAGAAUAUGUGUUACUUAGUCAUGUAAUUUGUAUUAUUAAAAGAAUAUUAAUACGUAUUCAUUGUGUUAAUUAGUCAUUCAUUUUGUAUUCAUUAGUCAUUAAGAGAAUGAUAACAAUUUGAUGUAUAUAAUGCACUCAGAUUAUCAAUGAAAAUCAUUCAGCUAUUUUCCUAUAUGGUAUCAGCUAGGUUUUAGAUCCUCUCCUACUUCUUCUAGCCGCCCACCACCACCUUUUCUUCCCUAUACUUCCGUUAUAAACCGCCAUCCAUGGCUACCUCAACAACAGCUGAAUCAACCACUCUCUCAACAAAUUCCUCUCCCGUGACAGACACAUUUGUCUCAACGGCACCAUCAUCAAAAAUUCACUCGGCCUUCACUAUCAACAACGUGAAGUCUAUCAUUCCCGUAACCUUGCACAAUGGCAGAAUGCUUUUCAUUGAUAAUCUGAGUGCAUUAUAUACAUCAAUUUGUUAUCAUUCUCUUAAUGACUAAUGAAUACAAAAUGAAUGACUAAUUAAUAUAAAUGAAUACCUAUUAAUAUUCUUUUAAUAAUACAAAUUACAUGACUAAGUAACACAUAUUCUAUCACUCCCACGCAGUUGAUGCGGGAGGUUGUCGGACGCUGAGUCUGUCCCUAAAAUCUUGAAAUAAAACCAAUGGGAGACCCUUAGUGAAGAUAUCUACAAUUUGAUAGCGUGAUGGAACAUGUAGGACACGGAUGUCUCCACGAGCUACUUUUUCACAAACAAAAUGAAUGUCCAUUUCGAUAUGUUUUGUGCGUUGGUGCUGGACGGGAUUUCGGAUAGAUAUAUGGCACUAACAUCCUUAUUAUCUAAUCCUAAACUACAAUGCACACAACAAUUGCAAAACCCUAAUCCUUGGUUUUGAGCGGGAAAAUUGUGAUUUAACCACAUUUAAUGGCAUUUUUGAAUUUCAAAUCAUGUACCCUUUUGAAAUGUGUGCAUAUGUGCCUAAUUAAUGCAGAUUUUGAAAUUCAAAUAUCCCACCACUUGGAAUUGUGCUCGCUUCUUUCCAAGACAUGCAGUUACCCACUUCUCAAUGCAAAAGCAUCUGAACCAAACAAACCUAUUUCCUUGCAUUUUGCUCUUUCUCCCUCUCUCUCACUCCCCUCUCACGCCCAUUUUUCUCUAAUCAGAAAAGGUCAACGAUUUUCAGUCCCUCUUCUCUUCUCUCUCACUCCAGUUUUCUCUCAAAAAAAAGCCUCUUCUCUUCUCCCACGUUAUUUUUUUCUUCAUUUUCUAACAUUCUUCUUCAAUUCUCCAUCUCUCUCUCUCAUUGUUUCUCGCGUAGCUCUUCGUGUCUUAGUUUGGGUGUUCUCUUCAUCGCCGGUCAGCCUCACCAAGGCAAUAAGCAUCUUCAAGUUUUAUUGAAAGAGAAUGCUUCUAUGCAACAAAAUUUUCAAGACCUUCGAUCCCUCGGUAUGCGUUUUCAGUUUCGUUACGUUUUGAUUGAUUUUGAUUUCGCGAUUAGGAUUUUGGUAUCACCGGUGUUGUUUUGAUUGAUUUUUCCGAUUUGAUAGGAAAGGAGCUUGAAGAAGGUGGAGUUCUCAGUGAAUCGGCACUGUCGCGGAAGGUUUUUCUUUUCAUCAACGAUCUUCUCUCUCAUUCUCUCUCAUUCGCUGCUCUUCUACUAAGCUUUGAUUGUGGAACGUAUGAAGGCAGAGUGACAUCUGAUAACGAUCAGAAUCAAGGCUACUAAGCUUAGAUUAUGGCUUCUAGGGGCAGAGGAAAAUGAGGAAGAAAAAGCACCAUCAAUUACAAUCUGCUCUACAUGUAUAAUGUUUUCCGUAUUCGAAUUAUUUCAAAUUGCAAGUAAUUUAAAUUGAGUUUUAAGGUAGUUUUCUUUGACUGCAAGUAUAAGGGGCUUAUUUCACAAGGUUAUACUUAGAUGUGUAUAUUCACUAUUGAAGCUUAUUUUGAGUUUCCGUGAUGACUUACUUUAUCGAAAUCACGGUGUGCCGCCGCGAUUUAGAAAAAGUUAUAGGGUGCAGCUUUUACAAUAACUAAAAAUUAACUAAUGAUUUGCCUGAAGUUUCUAAUUCUUUUUAUUGGUCCGAUUACAGUCCCUCUCUGAUGAUUUUCUACAACUAUCAGAUUUGAUUGAAUCAACUAAGGUUAAUUAUUUUGUCCAUAAUUUUUGCAAGAUAACUCUUCAGUCUACUGUUUUAGGUCAAAAUUAAUUUAUUUUGUGUAUAGAACAAUAGUUAUGCAGACCACCCAUUUCAAUAGGAUAAUGUCAAAAUUAAUUUAUGCAGACCAUCCAUUUCAAUAAUCAAUAAUGUUUUUUUGGGUUUGUUUGUAUAAUAGCAGGUUUUUUAAGAUUUGUUUUGUGUAUAAUGUGUCAUUUCACUCCACGUAGCCAAUCUUAGUGUUUGUUCAUGAAUAGAAAGUGGCUCAUAAAACAAUUUAAGGGUUCGAUUGUUCUAUAUUAUCUUUGCUCAUCUCUCUUAGUGUUUGAAAUUAGUUCAAAGAGUGGUCUAAAAAUUCUGCUAACAUAUGAGGAUGACGCUUGCAUUGAUAGUUUUUUUUUUUAAAAAAAAAAAAAAAAUCGCAUUGUAUACACAUAAAUUCCUUGAAAUAUAAUUGUAUACACAACGUACACUACAUACGAGGUCAACUUUACGUCGCAAUAUCCAAGGUGACCUCCAGGAAUGGGUUGAAGAUUUUAAUGAAUGAUGAUAAUAGUAAUAGCAUGAAUAGCACUUCAAAUGUAGUUAUAAGGAGAUUUUCUGCAAUCUACCGAUUUAAGGUCUUUUUUAAUGUAUUUUUUUUAGAAACAAUUUAUUUUGUACCGCAAGCAUAUUUAAUUUCAAUACAUUUUGUAAUAGCAUAUUUUAUUUUGUACAGCACGGGUGGAUGGUCUAGUUAUCACAAUAAACUAAACUAGCCUUGUGAAUGGGGAAAUGUAAUUCCAAAAGCAAGUUUCAUAACCAACAAGAUUCAGAAACCGCAUUGGAACCCCUCGAUAUUCUGCUUCAGCACUUGAACGAGAUAAAGUAGGUUGUCGUUUGGAAGACCAUGAGAGUAAGUUGUCACCAAGAGAUACACAGCAACCAGAGGUGGAUCGUCAGGUAUCUAGGCAACUUCCCCAAUCUGCAUUGUGUAAACAAUCAAUGAUGAUGUAGAAGAAGAGUAAAGUUGCAGUCCAUACUCGCGUGUGCCCUGAAUAUAUCUCAGGAUGCGUCAAAGGGUGUGCAUGUGAUCAUCCAUUGGAUUGUGCAUAAAUAAACAUAUUUGUUGCACUGCAUAAGAAAUGCCAGGCCUUGUGAAGGUGAGGUAUUGUAGGGCGCCAGCAAGGCUGCGAUAUAGAGAAAGGUCUUCAAAUGGGGUGCUAGUUUUGGCUCUCAUCUUUGGUUUAGUAUCAACCGUUGUAGGACAUGGUUUACAAGAAGCCAUUCCAGCACGAUCAAUAAUUUCUUCUGCAUAUUUUUUCUGAGACAAAAAUAAGCCACCAGGAUGACGUGUGACAGCAAUACCCAAAAAAUAAUUCAACAAUCCCAAAUCUUUCAUAGCAAACUCGGAACUAAGGAGUGAUAUGAUAGACUUUCAAAGGUCGUCAGAGGAAGAGGAAGCAGUAAGAAUGAUAUCAUCUACAUACAGUAUGAGGUAGGCCAAAAGGUGGGUUUUUCCUAUAUGGUAUCAGAAAAACUCUGCUUCCCGGAACUCUGGCAGAGGUGGUCGAAAUGGUACUGGUAAUUAUUGAUCUAUAACAAUAACCAUAUACGAAGACUACCUCAAAAAAAAAAAAAAAAAAAACGUACGAAGGAGAAUCAACCAUCUGGAUAAUACAUAUCCUUAUUUUAUUUAUUUGAAUUUGAAUGGCAACCACCAAAGCCACAUAUAGAAAGAAUAUUUUCCUACCAAUCGUACAUGAUGCCCAUAACAAAAGAUAGGUUCCAUAAUAUGGCCCCAUAAUAUCCUUAUCCUUAUAAUUAUGGUUCAGAAAAUAAAAAACCUCGUUAAGUUUUAGGAUUAUUUUAAGUUGAUAAAUAUUAACGAGUAUCUUCAGAGCAUUUUUCAAACAUCUAAAGUGGUAAGAUUUUAUGAAAGUUGAGCAUUUAUUAUAUUGGAAAUUGAAGUCUUUACAUUUCUUUUAAAAAUAAUUUUUUCAUUAUAAAUGCUUAAAAGGUGCUCCAUGGACAUUCAUUAACAGGACUCUUUUAAAUUUUAGAAUGUUAGCAUUUCCCUAAAACACAUGUUAAAGAUAGAGAUAUAUUAUGGCCUCUCACGGUAGCACCCGCCUACGUAGCGAGUUUAUGGUCAAUCUAAGUCAUUUACUAAAUGUCAAAAUUAUGUAUGAAUUGAAUUAUUCAACAAUGUUACAAGCUCCAUGUAUUUGCUACUAGUUGAUGAUCACUAACUAUCCUUUCAUUUUCCAUACAACUAGACCAUUUUUUUUUAGUAUUAUUUGCUCUAUCUCUCCACUUGUUUCCACAAAUAUGAUUAAUUUUUUUCGAAAAUUUUGUUUUUUUAAAUAUGAUAUUAUGGAAAACAAAAUUCGAAAAUUUGAAUAUAUAUUAAUCUUUUCCACAAUUUUUUUAAAUAUUUCCCGAUUAUUUUUAUAAUUUUUCCAGAUUUUUUUCAUUAUUUUUUAUUUUACCAGAUUUUUUUAAUCAUUAUUAAUUUUUACAUUUUUUUUUUAAAUUUUUCAGUAUUUUUUUUAAUCAUUAUUCGUUUUUUAAAUUUUUUUAUUUUUAUUUUAAAAAAAUCACAAAUGCCACGUGGCGUUCAUUUACACGCGUGGCAUGAAAAAAAUUAAACAAAAAAAAAUUGACACGUCACUGCCACGUAGUAGAUUCUGCCGACACAUUGAGGUGAGGGGUCAAUCCUGAAGAAUCUUCAUUUUUCAAGGGUGGAAUCUAAAAAAAAAAAAUUACAGGGGCUAAAACCAAAAGUGCAUUAUAUUACAAAGGCCAAAAACACUAUUAACACUAUAUUAUUACUUCUUCUUUUUUAUAAAAAUCCAAAUAAAAAUCAUUUGCAUUGCAGCCAAUUGGCCAAAUGCAACAUGACAAGCGCAAAAUUGCUCCAUGUUGACUUGUGAGAACUCUUGUUCUAGAUAGAGAACCUUAUAGUUUUUGUUGUCACAGAAAAUGUUAAACAACUUUUUCCAUGCAAUUUAUGCGUCUGAAUCGCGCUUGAUGAUGGUGAUGAGAAUAUAUUCUGAGGUGGUGUCAUAUAUCCAUUAUAAUACGACAACAUCAAAAAGCGGCCAAAGAUUGGGAUUGAUUUCUUUGAGAGAGGGAGUUGUUGGCUUAUUAGUGGGUGAGGGAGGAAUGAUGUGAUGAAAGACUUGAUGAACCCUUGCAUGAAUUUUAAAGAGUUCGAACCACGUAUUAUAUUGGACCCUUUUUUAUACUAAACGUAACCUUGAUGAAAUUGGUGAUAAUUGAAAAUGGUGGUAGAGGGAUGGAUAGGUGUGGAAGGAGUUGGGGUUGAAAUUGUCCUUCGAGUGGUAGUAUUUUUGGGGAUGAUUCGGCCCUGAUGGUGAAUGAAGGAGAAGAGGAACGAUGGCGCUGUAUUAGGUUUACGAGAGAAGGAUGAGUACCAACAACUUACUGAUACCAUGUAAGAAUUAUAAUAAGAUAAUUAUUAGUCGUGUGUCAUUUGCAUUGAGAGGAUCCGUUGACACUAGGUGUCAAACUUUAGUUUGACAUCAAAUCUCAACCGUCUAUUAUGUCUAAUCUAAUGGUCUGUGAUUAUUUAUUAAAUUAACUUGUGUGAUCUUUUUCCCAUGUCUCACCUGAUCCCACGCCGGCUGUUCUGCUCCAUCUCCUUCAACUUAUCAAAGUUAAUAUGGCCAACAAUCAAAUACACACACAAAUUAAUUCUUUUUUUUUUUUAAAGAAGAAGAAGCUAAAUUAGCCCACACAAAUUGGCACCGGAGAGAAUCGAUCCUGAGACCUCGAGGAGGAGCACACUCCCAGAUCCCAAGUCAAUACCACCAGACCAACCCAAAUGAUAAAUAAGGAGUUAAUUCUAAAUAAGGAGUUAUACAUAUAAUUACAUAUUGUUGACAUUAAUUGUUCUCUGUGGGGCAAGAUACUUGAGGUGUAAGUUUCAUAAGAUGCAAGUUCUUUUAAGUCUAAAUUGUCUUAUACUUACAUUAUUUUAGGUCUAAAUUUCAGAAACCAUUAUCACAAAUUUUUUGACAAUCUUAUCUCACAUACUCGUACUAUAUUUUUACUUCUCUUUUUGUUGUUUUGGUUUUUGUUUUCAUACCUAAUUUUCCUUGUAAAUCUAUAGUUGUCUCAUAAAUUAUCGUUAAAAUUGUUGUUCAAAUAACACAACUCCUAUUUCUAAUACUCAAAAUUUGUUCAAAUUAAGUUUUUAAAGAACUUCUAAUAAAAUCAGAUUAAGUUUUUUUGAACUUUCUAAAUACUUAAAUUGAAUUUUCUCGAAUAUACAUCUUGGAGAAAGAAAAAAAAUAAUUAUAGGAGGGAGAUGCAAAACUUACGUUUUCUUUCACUAGAAACAUAUUUUGAGUUUUCAAUAUCAUCAAAAUCAUAAACUUUAUUUAUUUGCAAAUCUAGAGCACAUAUAGCACGAUUUUCUCUCAUAAUUUACAUUGAUAUAACACAUAUUAUGUUCUUACCUUGCCCAAACAUUCGGGAUUUAAUUGAUAAUGUAAAAGAUGUUUUCAAAUGUAGAAUAAGAAAGAUGGAAAACCUCCAAGCCAAAUUAUACACAAGAAUAUAAAACAAAGCAUUUACUUGGUAGAUAAUAUUUUCUUUUUAAACAGCAAAUUUUAUUCAUAAUAAGAUAACCUAACACAAGAAGUGAAGAGGCUAUAGGGGAAAGACACAAGGUAACAAUACAUAAAGACAACUAAACCAAUGCUAAAAAUCCACAUCACAAAACCACCCAAACAACCCUUAAUACAAUAUAAUCACAGCAGAAAAACCUUAACCAAAUCAAGCAAACACACCCAGACCUUCCCCUAACACAAAAUCAAACCAGUUUCCAUCAACACCACAUCAAUAGACCCCUUAAAUAAUUGAACAAAAACCAGCCACCUAAACUUCCUGGUACCAGUAAAUUACAAUUACUUAGUAGAUAUUGAUAUGUCUUGUUGCAUUGAUGUUUCAGAAAUGUGUGGCUGGAGGGCAAUCUUUGGGUCGUAACUUCCACAAUAUCUUCGAGCAGCGAUUGAUUUUGGGAGUUUUGAAUUUUGGGAAGGCAGCAUCAACAGCAAAAUGUUGAGGAGCAAGCAUAAAAGCAGCAAGGAAUAACACUAAUAAGGAUAAGAAAAAGGAAUUAGCCAUUUUAAGAAGUGAUAUUAUUAUUGUGUUGGUGCAUAAUACAUAUGGAGUUAACUGGCUUUAUACUAGUUAGAGACUCAAUGUGAGUUUAUGGUCAAUCUAAGUCAUUGUGUAUGAAUUCAAUCAUUCAACACGUAGGUUCCAUGCAUUUGGAAAACUAGUUGAUGAUUAAAAAUGUUCAAUAUAUUAGGCUAUGAAUUGUUUAUGAAUUGAAUUGUUG